rnacentral:rRNA from 1 species
UACGAAGGGGGCUAGCGUUGCUCGGAAUCACUGGGCGUAAAGGGUGCGUAGGCGGGUCUUUAAGUCAGGGGUGAAAUCCUGGGGCUCAACUCCAGAACUGCCUUUGAUACUGAGGAUCUUGAGUUCGGGAGGGGUGAGUGGAACUGCGAGUGUAGAGGUGAAAUUCGUAGAUAUUCGCAAGAACACCAGUGGCGAAGGCGGCUCACUGGCCCGAUACUGACGCUGAGGCACGAAAGCGUGGGGAGCAAACAGG